UCUAAAGACUUUGCCUACCCUGAACAAGCCUGAUCCCAUCUGAUCUCAGAAGCUAAGCAGGGUCGGGCCUGGUUAGUACUUGGAUGGGAGCCCACCUAAGAAGACCAGGUGCUGUAGGCA
rnacentral:rRNA from 1 species